CAGCUUCGCCAUCUCUCUUCCAUUUCUGCUCUCUUCGAUCUCUGCUUCGCUUUCUUCAGUCUUUGCUUCGUGAUCUCUUCCAUCUCUGCUUCCUUCGUGAUUUCUUCUUUUCUGGUUGCAUUUUUCAGCUGCCCUCGACAAUGAACGACCUGCUAACGGACAAUUUGUUCUUCGUUUUUUGGGGCUUCUGUGUGUAGCUUUGAAGCCAUUUAUACUCAAGGACAAUUUGUUCUUCUUUUUUUGGGGCUUCUGUCUGUAGCUUUGAAACCAUUUGUAGUCAACGAACUUAAUUUACCGCAAGCUGUUGUAAAUAGGUUGCAAACUGUUGGUAUACGGUUUUGUGGACCUGCAGAUCAGGCGCUUGCUAGACUAAGGGGAGCCUUGCCAACUGGUGUUUGUCUUCAUGGCUGUUGCAAUGGAUAGAGUGUUUAAUUAUUGAGAUCAACCAAAUACAAAAGGUGUCAAGGGAGUACAUAAUCCUCAUGCUAGACUAAGGGGAGCCUUGCCAACUGGCACGGUUGCAAAUACACAAGCCAUCAAGGUUAAUUUGAUUUUGUUAAACUAAAAACGUUAGAAGAGUGGAACUGGUGGUGUUUUAAAGAGGAAGAGGAAAAACAGGGGAGUUACUGUGACAGAUUCUGGAAUUCCAGAGGUUAAACCAUCUCCAUCUACCAAUGGACUCUCCUCCCAAGUCCUAAACAAAAUAAACGGAAAUGCCGCCACCGCUGCAGACAGCAGUCCAGCAUAGAUUGAGUCCUCAGCAUAGAUUGAGUCCUCAACUCUAUGACUUUCGUUUACUAUAGAAGUGCUUUUGAGUGAGAGAAUUUUGGCACUGAUCAUCUACAGAAACAUGAAUGGUUUUGACUACUUUUGAAAAAAAGGGCAAUCAGGCCGCAUUCUCAGCUCCAGACAUAUGGUCCUACGCUACCUGUUUGUGAUCAUCUUUGUGUAUGUGCAAUGCAGAUUAUUAUCAAAAUUGUAAAAAGAAGCAAACAACAUAUGCAUGAAGAUUUUACAAGGUACAAAGAUCCAAUCGUGUUACCCUAUGUCUUUCCUGAAAUGCCUAUUUAAAUUUGUUCGUUUUGAAAUGAGUCAACCAAACCAUUUUCUGGAUCUUCCCAAGCGGGGACCAUUGUCCUUGACAAAAUGCAGUAGUAUUGAAGCUAAAUAUGAUAAGGUUACAUUCACUCUUUUAACGCUUAAUUCACUUCUCAAAUCCACGUAGAUAAAUACAUUUAAAUUGUACAAGUGAUGAGUAAAACGUCGUAAGUGGAGGCUAGUGUAACCAUAAUUUUACUUCACUCUCUCUCCCACUUUCCACUUUUCUCUUUUCUAAUUUUAUUUUAUAUAUUUUUACAAUUAUCGUGUAUUUAAACACACACAUAGUACACUGUGUGACUUGAUUUAGUCCAUCUCCUAUAAAAUGUCUGCGUAACAAUGAAUUGUUUAAAUACUCUAUGGGUGUUUUGACCGGUCUCUCUGCUCGGCCAUGAUUCUUGGACAUUUUUUCUUCGGAAUGAAUUGUUUUGCUGAUUAAAAGAUAAUCUUUACUGAUAGUAGAUUUGUAUAAAUAUUUUCAUGGAACUUACUGGACGUUCAUGCAUUCCAAUGAUUAGGCAAAUCCAAAUUAUAAUAUAUUGGUGUAGGGUUAUAUUGUGAUUGGAGAGUUUUAGCCUAUUUGGUUGGAGAUGGUCUUUGCCUACCUCUUUUCUCUUAGUGUAGGGCUUGUUUGAAUGUGCUUUUAAAAUGAUUGAAAGCGUUUUUGGUGAAAAUAUUUUUAGAAACAAUCCUUAGUAAAAAUGUUAGUAAAUCAUGAAAAAAAACACUUCCAAGUGCUUUCUAGAAGAAACACAUAACUAGUGCUUCUUGUAGAAAGCAUGUAAAGUGCUUUUGAAAUCCAAAAAUAUUUUCUCUAAAAACGCUUUCAGUUAUUUUAAAAGUACAUCCAAAUGAACCCAACAUAGUUAAAAAAAGAAGUAUACUCCAUUUUUUUACUCUUAGUCAAAAGAUCUUCCAAGACCUCCAUUCUAAAAUGUUUAUAACGAACAUUGCAUUUGAAAAUUGGAAUGCGCUCAAGAAGUUCCAAUUUUUCUUACGAGUUCCAAUUCAAUUUGUGGAGUCACCAGUGGGAGCAGGGUGGGUGGGCUUGGUGGUGGUGGUGGGAGAGGACGGUGGCUUGGGAUAAUGGGAUGAAUCAUGUAUCUCAUGGAAGACUGGUAGUAAUUUGGUGAGAGAGAAGACGUGUUUGGAUGGCAGACUAGAAUGUGUUUGGCAAGAAGGAUAAGAGGCCGAUUGGUUAUGUGUUAAAGCAGAUUUGAGAUGGGCGGGUGCUGUUAUCUAGUUGUUCCACGUAUUCAAGUCAGUAUACUGGGUACUUCCCGGUGAGUUCCCAAAUAUUGUCAUUUAUCCGCAAGGAAAUAAAUUAAAGGUGUGGCAUAUGAGACGGGCAAUAAUUGUGACCCACAGAGCUCCACUUACGCACAAUACACAAUAAAUGUGACCUACCCAAUAAAUGUCUGACGAGGCCCACUUACACAAUAAAUGUGACCCACACAAUAAAUGUGACCUACCCAAUAAAUGUCUGACGAGGCCAACUUACGCACAAUAAAUGUGACCUACCCAAUAAAUGUCUGACGAGGCCCACUUACAGGCAGAGCCGUCGGCUUAAUGGUAUUUAUUAGGGAUCUGUCCGUUUCUCUACCCCAUAAAAACAAGUUUUUAGCUUUUGUUUUUUUCAUUUUCUGUUUUCAAAUUCAUGUAUUCAUAGAUUUUAUGAUUUUUUUUUGGUGCAUUGAAACUGGUUUUAAAAAAUUGGAAGUACAGAUACAAAUUCCUGAAUCGAAUCGUAUUAUUAUUUGAUUUUUAUUAAUAUAUCUAUUGUUAUUCGUAAAAUCUUCAAUUCACCAUCUUUUAGUUUUUCAAUAACCUGUGUCUUUGAUUAAAACCCAACUAAUUGGCCCUAGCAUCAACAAGUAUGUGUAUUGAGGAACAGUCAGCCCCGACCACCAUUUCGGAUCGUCCAUCAGUCAGGUCCGCUUAUUCUUUUUCUUUCCUAUUUAAAACAUCUCUCUAGGUUUAGGCAAAAUCCUACAUAUAUUUUCUCAGACUCUAAAACUCGCCUAAACUCCCCAUCAUCUCCAUGUUGCGCCGCUCUUCCCGUCCCUUGAUCAGUGGCCUCCGCUAUGCUGCAAUGCUCUGCCGGCCAUUUACUGUUGGAGAAGCAGAACCCCAACCUCCUUGCCUAUAACAAUCAGAUGAUCGCCUACAACCUCAAUCAGAGGGUCAUCUACAAUCUCUCAUGUCUCAAUCAGAUGAUAAAUGUUACUUUUUGUGGAACUGAAGCUCAAUAUUAUUUACAAAUUUAUCUAUCAUAUAAUACCAUUUUUAAUUUGUUUAUAGAAAGUUUAAAAUUAAUAUAUAAAAUUGAUAAAAUUUACGUUUCUUUAAUUUUGUAUGAUCUAGUUAAUAGACUGAUUUAACUUGCUAUAACUUCUCUUUGAUGUUAUGAAAUUUGCAUUUUUGUUGAGUAUUUUGCAGAACCCUUACCUCCUUGCCUACAUCUAUCAGAGGGCCGCCUACAACCUCAUUUCUCUUGUCUCAAUCAGAGGAUCUCAGUAAUCUUAUUUUACUUGUUUUUUGGUGCAAAUUAAACUGAAUAUCAUUUACAAAGUUAUUUUUCAUAUAUUACUAAUUUUAAAUUAUUUAUAUAAAGUUAAAAACUGAUUUGGAAAUCGACGAAAUGUAGAUAUCUUUAAUGUUAUAUGAUUUAGUUAAUAUAUAAUGAUUUGAUGUGUUUUAACUUAUCUUUCAUGUUACGAACUUUAAGUUUUUGUUGAGUAUUUGCAUAAUUGGUCCAAUAGUCUGUUUAUUUUUUUUGUUGCAUAUGUCCAAUAUUAUCUUUUACAAAGAAUUACAAAGAAACGACUAUAAUUGUAACGGUGAUAUUCUUGUUGGGUCUGAUUCUAGUAGGACAUGAUAUGAUAAAUUGAAUACUUAUAUAGGUAAGGGUUUUGUAGCACUGUUUCUAAUUUAAUAUAAUAGAAAAGAGGGUUAAAGAAAACCCUUACUUAUAUAAGUAUUCAAUUCAUCACAUUGUGUCCUCCUCGAAUCCGACCCAACAAGAAUAUUACCGAUAUCAAGCUUUAUUACAAUUAUGGUCGUUUCUUUGUAAUUCUUUGUAAAACAUAAUAUCGGACAUAUGUAACAGAGAAAAUAAGCAGACUAUUGAAACAACUAUGCAAAUGCUCAACAAAAACUCAAAUUUCGUAACAUUAAAGAUAAGUUAAAACACAUCAAAUCAGUCUAUGUUAACUAAAUCAUACAACAUUGAAGAUAUCUAUAUUUUGUCAAUUUCCAAAUUAGUUUUUAACUUUCUAUGAACAAUUUAAAAUUGGUAAUAUAUGACAAAUAACUUUGUAAAUGAUAUUGAAUUUAAUUUGCACCAAAAAACAAGUAAAAUGAAAUUACUGAGAUUCUUUGAUUGAGACAAGAGAAAUGAGGUUGUAGGUGGCCUUUGAUAGUUGUAGGCAGGGAGGUAGGGGUUUUGCAAAAUACUCGACAAAAACGCAAAUUUCAUCACAUCAAAGAGAAGUUAUAGAUCAAAUCAGUCUAUGUUAACUAGAUCAUACAAAAUUGAAGAAAUGUAAAUUUUAUCAAUUUCAUAUCAGUUUUUAACUUUUUAUGAACAAAUUAAAAAUGGUAUUAUAUGAUAGAAAAAUUUGUAAAUAAUACUGAACUUAAGUUCCUCGAAAAACAACAUUCAAGUAAUAGGAGAUUUACUAAGAUCCUCUGAUUGAGAUAUUGUAGGCAGUCAUCUGAUUCUUCUAGGCAGGGAGGUAGGGGUUUUGUGAAACAGACUUAAAAUUGUGCUUUGUUAAUUUUUGCUAGACGUGUUUGUGAUUUAAUUUACUGGUACUGUAACAUAAUGUAUUGCUGCCAUUUAAAACUAUUCUAAACUAUGAAUUUAUUGUCAAGUUGUACUUUUGGUUUGGUUGUGCACUUUUUCCCAUUAUAAUAAGGAAUAAUGUUGACCUUGCGGGACGUGGAAACUCUGUUGCCCUAAUGAGGAUGAAACUACUCAAGGUUUGGAGUCGUUUCUUAAAGCAUUUGCCAUAAUUUAAACUUGGCCUCUGUCAUGAUUUAAGGAACUGGACUGGCUGGUGUUCCUGGUGCAGCCAGUGAUAUAUUCAGUGCCGUAAAGGAUGUUGGGGCUAAUGUUAUUAUGAUAUCUCAGGUUAUGUCAUCCUCUGAAUUUGUGUUCAUGUUAUAUGCUGAAGGAAGUAAAUGCUGUGUCUGAGUUACUGCAGUCUAGAUUUCGUGAGAUUUUGAAUGCUGGGCGUCUUUCUUAGGUUCAAGUGAUUCCAAACUGUAGUAUUUUGGCAGCAGUUGGCCAAAAAAUUGCCUGUACUCCAAGAGUUAGUGCAACUCUUUUCAAUGCACUGGCAAAGGCAAACAUUAAUGUGUGUGCAAUUGCCCAUGGUUGUACUGAGUACAAAAUUACUGAAGUGAUAAAGCGGGAGGAUUGUAUUAGGGCUCAUUAUAUCUUUCAAGAACCGCAAUAGCAGUGGGCAAUAUCCGACCUGCUCUGAUUGGUGUCACAUUAUUGGAUCAAUUGAGGGACCAGGUACUUAAUUUCACUUUUUCUUCUGUUAUUAUAAGGCUUUUGUAUAAUAUGUGUAAGGUCAUCUGUCAUUGAAAAUAUUUAUGACAUUUUGGAGUUUAAAUUUAAUUUUUCAAAUCUUUGCAUAGCUACCCUCAAGGAAGAGUUUAACAUUGAUUUGCAUGUUAUAGGAAUUACUGGCUCACAGACAAUGCUUUUGAUUGAGGCUUAAGUUAAAGAGCUUUCAAUGGAAUAUGAUUUAAUCAAAUGCUUUGCAUAUUCUGAAGUAGACCUUGGAGUGGUGGUGGUCUUAAUUCAUACGCGUCGUUAAUGAAAUGUUUUUGAGUUGAUAAUUGACCAACGUGCUUCCUUUAGCAGCGGAAAUUGCUCCUUUCUACAGUCCAAUUACGAUAUCUACGUAUGUUUUAUAAGUUUUUCUCUUUGUUAUUCUUUUCCAAUUUCAAUCUUUUCCAUUGUAUUUGUUAUAUUUAAUUUCCAACAAUAAAGUCAUCCAUUGCUUCGUA